UACGUAGGUGGCUAGCGUUGUCCGGAUUUACUGGGCGUAAAGAGCGCGCAGGCGGUCGUUCAAGUCGAGUGUGAAAGCCCCCGGCUCAACUGGGGAGGGUCACUCGAUACUGAUCGACUCGAAGGCAGGAGAGGGAAGCGGAAUUCCCGGUGUAGUGGUGAAAUGCGUAGAUAUCGGGAGGAACACCAGUGGCGAAGGCGGCUUUCUGGCCUGUUCUUGGCGCUGAGGCACGAAGGUCAGGGGAGCAAACGGG
rnacentral:rRNA from 1 species